UACGUAGGGGGCAAGCGUUGUCCGGAUUUAUUGGGCGUAAAGAGCGUGUAGGCGGCUUCACAGGUCCGCUGUCGAAAACUCGAGGCUCAACCUCGAGCUGUCGGUGGAAACCGUGUGGCUAGAGUCCGGAAGAGGAGAGUGGAAUUCCCGGUGUGAGCGGUGAAAUGCGCAGAUAUCGGGGAAGAACACCCGGUGGCGAAGGCGGCUCUCUGGGACGGUACUGGACGCGUGAGACGCGAAAGCGUGGGGGAGCGAACAGGA
rnacentral:rRNA from 1 species